UUUGCUUGCAGAAAUAGAACUGUAUUUCGAGGAAAUCAAUCAAUCUGCAGGAAACAAAAAUGGAAGUCGAGGUUUGGGAAGAGUUGUCACUUCCCCGACUCGAGUGGUGCGGGCCAGGGGCGGAGACUUGGGGCCGCGGAGAGGCCCUUUCUCCCACCUCAGCUCGUUCCCAGACUUCCAGAAGGGAGAAGUACCCUCCUCACCCCUCUUCUUCCCCACACCCGUCCUCGCUCGCCCGCCGGCCCCUUUCCGCACCUCCUUCUCCCCUCAAGUGAGAAAAGCCUAGUUCCCGAGCCGGUGUACGCGGUUGCUUUACCCCUCCCCGCUCCCACGCGGGUGCCCCCUCCAGCCAUCGCUACUGCCACCACCUCGGUUCCACUCAAUCGAUUUUUGCUGCAUGUCAACACUUAUUCCCGAAAAUGGCCCGCUGAUGAUGUGACCCAGUGUACCAGGACUAAGGCUUGGGGUGGUUUCCUUAGAAUUCCAAGACUCCUUCUACCAAUGCCUCCUCUGACCAGAAGCAGCAAAGUCUUUCUGCCUCCAUCAACAGUUUGCAGCGGCACCGGACCCCCUGCACGCAGUCCUGGGCUGGAUCCUUUAUCCUUGUCCCUCUGGGGAGAUGAGACCAAGAGCCGCUUCCACUGUCCCAGAGAAGACAGUGGAGCAGAUACGGACGGAAUGUGACUUGGAACCCCGGUCUUCAGCUCAAAGGACUAUUCUCAAGGAGCUAUGCUCAAGGAACUGCACCUAGAAAGCUUCAUCCACAUCUGAGCCUGGUUGAGAUGACAAGAUUCUAGCCUUUGAAAUGUUGCUGUAAUGGGUUGAAACUUUUGGUGGCUUUGAGGUGUGAGUAUCAUUUACCUGUGGGAGGGAGAUUAGUCAAUGAGAGAUAGAGGAUAGACUCCUGGGUCAACCUUCAAUAUGGUGCUCAAGUAAUUCUUGCUUCUUGGUAUUCACGCCCCUGUGUAGUCCUUCCUUCCCCACAUUGGCUUGUAUAAUCAAUAGCAUAUUAUGGAAAUGACAAUACGUGGUUCCUAAGACCAGGACAUAAAAGAUAAUUGCGGCUUCUGCCUUGCUCUCUCUUGGACAACUCACUCUUGAGGAAGUCAGAGAUCAUGUCAUUUCAUGAGGACACUCCAGCUGCCCUAAUGACAGAGCCAUGUGGUAAUGAUCUGAGCCAGCAUGAACUUGACUGCCAUGUAAGUGAGCCAUCCUAGAGGCAAAUCCUGGAGGCGGCUCCAGUCAAGCUUUCAGAGGACUGUAGAUAUAGCUGAGAUUUUACCCAUAACCUCGUAAGAGACACUAAACCAGGAUUACCCAGCUAAGCUGCCCUUAAAUUCCUAAGCCACAGAAACUGUGAAAGAUAAUAACUGUUUGUUGUUGUUUUCAGCCACUAGAUUUGGCGGUAAUUUUUUUUUUUUUUUUUUAUAAAGCAACGGACAACUAAAACAGUAAACUACAAUCUCAUUAUAAGGCAAAAGUUGAAAUGACUGCUUAAAAAUGUUAUGUUUUUUGACUGCAUCAAUUGAACAAAGGUUCCAUGUCAGAGAUGGUAAUAGUUCACUUCUAGACUUAUAACAAUUUAAGAUAUUGUAUGUAGUUUGAGUCAUAUACUUUGAAAGACACUGGCAAACACAAUGAGAGCACUAAGGACUAUCAGGAUAGCGAAGAUUUAACAAACUAUAACAUGAAGAGUACAUGAGAACACCUGGUGAAAAUCUGAGUAGACUUAGGGAUGACAUGACAUCUGUACAUGUGUUUAAAGCAUUAGCACAAGAAACAUGUAAUGGCAUAGCCUCUCUUCCUUCCAAGGGGAGAAACGAAGAAAAGGCUACAAGUUAUAUAACAGUAGAUUUUAAAUAACACAGAGAAGUAUUUUUUGAGGCUUCCAGUUAUCUAACAAAAGAAUGAUUUCUUCAUUGGAAGAGUUGAAACACAGGCUAGAUUAUCACCUAUAAAAAAUGUAGUACAGAAAAAUUCUGGACUAGGAUGUUGGAUAAACUUCGCAAAAUGUCACUAGGCUACUUUCCAAUCUGAUCUAAGAUAUAUUUAUUCAGUUACCUUCAAUAAACAGCAAAUUUCUAGGAACUCCCUUACACAAACCUUCAAAGUCUUGUAGAAGUUUCAUCAGACAACACAAUAGAUAUUUUGCAGAUCCUUGAAAUGUAAUUAGUAUUUUCCCAGUUACGUGCGCAUCUAAGAAACAAAGCAGAAAGACAACUACAGAAGGAAGAUACCACUUAUUCCCUUGUUCUGAAGAUUAAAAAAAAAAAAACCCAAACUUUUCUGGGGUAGAUGCAUUUUCUAAAGCUAAGAUUCCGAUUCAGUUUUGGCCUCAUUUUAAAGAAGAAUGUUGUGGAUUAGAUUGAUUUGUAAGAUUUAAAGACAACUUGCAUAUCAAAGUGCAAAGACGGUAAGCAUAAUUCAUUUUCUUCUAUGAGAGUCAUUUCAUUCUCUACUAUUUGAGAAACAUCUGCAGGAUCCAUUAUGCGCCACACAUGUAAGAGUUAAGCUUUCAAUCAACCAAGCAAAGUCAUAUAAUUGUUGAUGACAGAGUCAGGAAAAGAUCUGGGGAUUCUUAAUUCUUAAAGUAAUAUAUUUUUGAGGUCUCUUAAGAACUGUAUUAUUUUUUCUAGAUAAUAAAAAUAAAAAAACUACAAAGGAGGUACAAAUUAUUAUGUAUAAAGUAAAUAAGCUACAGGAAUAUAUUGUACGGCACAAGGAAUACAGCCAAUAUUUUAUAAUAAUCUUAAAUGGGGUAUAAUUAUAAAAAUAUUGAAUUACUAUGUUGUAUACCUGAAACUAACAUAAUAUUGUAAAUCAACUAUCCUUCAAUAAAACAAAAAG
rnacentral:lncRNA from 1 species